rnacentral:lncRNA from 1 species
ACAUCACUGAUUACUCCGAGCGAUGGAUAUUUAUUUAUGAUUCUUCUGCAGGACUUAAUGGAAGCUUUUCGUUUCUGUUCGUCACAUCUAUCCAGCGAGCACUAUAUACAUGGAGAGUUCACGCCUUUUCUGGAAACACGUAGAUUAUGGCCAUGGGAGAAACGUUCUUUUGUCAAGAAAAAUCCCUCUAUGCGUCUCUUAGUAUCAUUUUUCGUAUUUUUUCGGAAAGAGUUCCAAGAUGAGUUUCGAGUUACUCUCAUCAUCUUCACUUUGAUGCUAAAAGUAAAAGAAGUGCAAACCUCGGAAUAAGUAUCCUUAUUGACUAAAGAACGAUUAAUGAAGAAAGUGAAGAGUUUUUAUCGUUUUGAAUGAUUUUUCAAGUGAAUCAGUAUAAAGUUUACUCAUGUAUUACUCCUUGACACAUAGAAUUUCCCUUUUUUCUUAUUUAUUCAUUCUUUUUCGAAUGAUUGUUGUGUUAACAUCUCCUCAAAGAAUCUAUUGUUCCCCAAAUAAAAUUAGUGAAAUGCCGAAAAAAAUAUCUUGCUACGGUUGGUUUAAAAUUAAUAAAGGCCAUGAAUUUGGAGCUACCUACCGGACGAUAACAAAAUAUUUUGUCGAAUAUGCCGAUGUAUGUACUCUUACAGCCCCCUUUAGUGUCAAACAACACUUAGUGUCCUCGUCCCACAUCAAGAAUAUGAAUGCAUACGAACAACAUUUGACUCAUGAUGAUUCUGACAACUUUAACACCAACCCCUUAAAUAUGUUAGUUCCCUAUAAUACACCUUUUCUCACCGUGGAGAACCCCAUUUUCUCAAAGUUUAUGAAGAAAUAUGCCGAUACAACCAACCCUGGUAGAAGACUCUACAUAGAUUAAUGGAGGCUGUCAGCAAGGAUGUAAUCUCCAAAAUUAAAGGGAAAGUUGGAGAUAAGGAUAUUUUCAUAGCUGUUUAUGAGACUAAAGACAACUGGGAACGAUCAAUGAAAGCUAUAUUGAUAGAUCCUUUGGAUGGUCGUUUCUUGGGUCUUCCUUAUCUAAUCAACAUGAUAGACAUAAAUGUUGCUAAUGACGUUAAUGUUGCAAAUUUUCACGUUCAGAGUAUUCAACUAACUCUUGGUUUGGACUUUGAUGAAAAUAAGUUAAAAGUUUUUGUCACGGAUGGAGUGUCCUACUGUAAAAAAACGGACAAAGAACCUAUCCCUAAUUGAAAUAUAUUAUUUGUGUAGCUCAUGGACUCCAUAAUGUGGCUGAACUUCCACGUAAAGAAUUCCCCAAAGACAAACGAGCUUAUUUCAGAAGUAAAAAUAAAUAAUGUUUUUGAAUGCCUGGCAAAGAAAACAGAACUUCACUGCUUCUUACAAUAUUCCCUUACCUCCAGCACCUAUUGUUAUACGCUAAGGAACUUUGUUGAAAGCAGUUGAUUACUAUUUCAAUAGUUUCAAAGUAAUCGGCGAAUAUUUAAACAACCUUAAUCAAAAAACAACAACGAUCGUUAAAGCUAAGGAGAUUGAUGAAUGAAAUUAUUUAUGAAUGAAAUUAUUUAUGAAGAAUUGUCCAUAAUUAAUUAUAAUCUCAACCCAAUUACCAAGAAGAAAGACUUCCUUUACUGGUUAGCUUGGCUAUUGUUGAACAUUUACGUGUCGAUAUCAAGCUAGAACCAUUAAAAACAAAAUGAAAUUCAAUUUUAUAUGAAAAUCCAGCGUACAACAAUUUGCGAGACCUAGCAAAUUCUGAGGAGACAAUUUACAGAAACACAACUAUUGAAAAUUUUGACUUUGAGAGGUUUUUCAUCAUAUUUAGAGACAUUAAUAAAAAAAUAAGAUCCUUUUUAUCAGUAAAAAGUGUCAGGGAUUAUAAAACGGAAUAUUGAAAUAUUAGAUUUGUAAGAUAAUAUGGUCAAGAACAAAAGCAUGAAUGAUCUCAAAUGGGGUCUUACCUUCAAAUGGCGUGCAAAUAGGUGGUAUAUCAUCCGUUUCUUCGUGUAAAGACUUGAGAUUAGCAUAUAGCUAAAUAUUCAUAAUUUCUGAUAUAAUGUGUUAGAGAACAACAGUAAUAUGGUCAAGAACAAAAGCAUGAAUAGUGUCAAAGAGGUUCUUAGUUUCAAAUGGCGCAAAUAGUUUGUCUAACAUCAGUUUCUUCGGGUAAAGAAUUGGGUAUGCUCCAUGGAUUCCAACAUGUUAAAGGAGAAAUUAUUUUAGAAAA